AACGAACGCUGGCGGCAUGCCUAACACAUGCAAGUCGAACGAAGCCUUCGGGCUUAGUGGCGCACGGGUGCGUAACGCGUGGGAAUCUGCCCCUCGGUUCGGAAUAACAGUUAGAAAUGACUGCUAAUACCGGAUGAUGACGAAAGUCCAAAGAUUUAUCGCCGAGGGAUGAGCCCGCGUAGGAUUAGCUAGUUGGUGGGGUAAAAGCCUACCAAGGCGACGAUCCUUAGCUGGUCUGAGAGGAUGAUCAGCCACACUGGGGCUGAGACACGGCCCAGACUCCUACGGGAGGCAGCAGUGGGGAAUAUUGGACAAUGGGCGAAAGCCUGAUCCAGCAAUGCCGCGUGAGUGAUGAAGGCCUUAGGGUUGUAAAGCUCUUUUACCCGGGAUGAUAAUGACAGUACCGGGAGAAUAAGCUCCGGCUAACUCCGUGCCAGCCGCCGCCGUAAGAC
rnacentral:rRNA from 1 species